UCUAGAAGCUUCGGCAAUGGGGGCAACCCUGACCGAGCGACGCCGCGUGCGGGACGAAGGCCUUCGGGUUGUAAACCGCUUUCGACAGGGACGAAGGAAGGAAAAUAUAACACAUUUUCCAACUUGACGGUACCUGCAGAAGAAGCCCUGGCUAACUCCGUGCCAGCAGCCGCGGUAAUACGGAGAGGGCAAGCGUUGUUCGGAUUUAUUGGGCGUAAAGCGCGCGUAGGCGGUAUGGUAAGUCGGAUGUUAAAGACCCACGGCUCACCCGGGGGAAUGCGUCCGAUACUGCCGUACUGGAGUACGGGAGAGGGAAGUGGAAUUCCUGGUGUAGCGGUGAAAUGCGUAGAUAUCAGGAGGAACACCUGUGGCGAAGGCGGCUUCCUGGCCCGUAACUGACGCUGAGGCGCGAAAGCGUGGGGAGCGAACGGG
rnacentral:rRNA from 1 species